GUACUGAAUCUGGACGUCAUCCUUACCAAAAUCCGUACUUCCCAACUUUUACUUUUUAUAAAAACGGAAAUUUAAAACUUUCCGAAAUCAAGAAUCAAAGUUUUAAUACAACCAGAAUUAUUGUUAUACUAGCCCAAUCAGACCACAAGAAUUCGACACCACCCAAUAAAUCGUUCCAGAAACCUCCUCUGAUUAUCCUGCAAUCGCCGGAGUUCUACCGGAGUAAACCGCAAUCGCCGGAGUUCUCAUCGGAAAGCUGCACGUCACCGGAUACGUUAGGACCCUCAUUCUUUUUUUUUGUUACGUAAUGGAAGAUAAAAGUAUGCAAGGACAAAGCUCCAAAAGACGUAUGAAUGCUUAUGAAAAUAGUAGAAUGUCAAGGAUUCAAGAGAAUCAAAAAAAUUACAAGCUUUGGGAUUGAGGACGCAUGAUGACUCAAGAUUUUAUGCUUCUUAUUUCUUUUAUUGCUUUUAAUUUCUUUGUUAAAUGUUAAGACUUUAUGUUAGAUAAUGUUAUAGCUUAUGUAUGGUUAGUGUUUUUGUUAUGAACAUGCUUAUUUGAAA